rnacentral:misc_RNA from 1 species
GAUGAAGAACGUAGCGAAAUGCGAUAAGUAGUGUGAAUUGCAGAAUUCAGUGAAUCAUCGAAUCUUUGAACGCACAUUGCGCCCCUUGGUAUUCCAUGGGGCAUGCCUGUUCGAGCGUCAUUUGUACCUUCAAGCUUUGCUUGGUGUUGGGUGUUUGUCUCGCCUUUGCGUGUAGACUCGCCUUAAAAUAAUUGGCAGCCGGCGUAUUGAUUUCGGAGCGCAGUACAUCUCGCGCUUUGCACUCAUAACGACAGCGUCCAAAAGUACAUUUUACACUCUUGACCUCGGAUCAGGUAGGGAUACCCGCUGAACUUAAGCAUCUCAAUAAGCGGAGGA